GGGGAUAUAGCUCAGUUGGUAGAGUGCCUGCUUUGCAUGCACAAGGCCCUGGGUUCAAUCCCCAGCACCCCA
rnacentral:tRNA from 1 species